rnacentral:lncRNA from 1 species
AUGGAUAGGGUAAGAGAAGAUAGACUUGCUCUUCAUGUGGGUUCAGGUGGAAAGGCUGCCCCAGACCUCUACUCCGGAGCAGAGGCUCAGUGGGGGAUUCCAUCACCUCUUCAAACUGAAGAACUUAUCUCUAAGCCUUCCUACUGCAAAGAUAUAAGGAAGACACAACCUGUGGACAAUGGGGAUCUGGAAGAAGAGAGAGACAAUAAAUGGCGUAAUACCUAUAUUGCCAGCCAGCCCCCUGCAGUGUCCACUCCACAUAUUUGGAAGGCAUCUACUCCACAGCCCUUCACUGCACAGACACUGAGAUGGCAAAGGCACAGACCAGAGCAGAUAUGGAGUGGAGAACAGAAGCAAAGAAACAGAUUACUUGGGAUGGAGAAAGAGAACUAUGGGUACAGAAAGACAAAGAAGAGACAUAUUUAAGCAAGGAGCAGGAUGCCAACAGUUCUCAGGAGCCUUGCAGGAGCCAGAGGAAUCCUGGAAGCACAGGAGGACAAGCAAGAAGGCGGCUAUUCCAGAGAAACUAUCAAGGUAUAAAGGGGAAGAGAGUCAGCCCCUUAGAACAGGCUACCACUGAGGAAGAGUUAAGGAAGAGCUCAGUGGGAUCAGCUCAGCCCCACGGCAUACCCCAGAGAUUCACUGAACAGCGGCAGGACUCCUUGGAUUUGGAGGAGAUACUUAGCAACAGUGAUGAAGAAGGGAGCAACUGGACCAGUGAACCUGAGUGUCCCCGUUCGCUAUCCCUUGGCACCUCUGGAUGGAAUCCUAGGAGCUUUCUCCUUCACACCUGCAGCACCCACUCUGACAGCAGUGGCUUCGUAGAGGAUCAGCCCCUUCCACCUCCCGAUCUCUCAACUGAGAAGGUUUUCCAAAGGAUCUAGUCCCCAGCUUCAGGGGCCUCGGGACACCUGAUAUGAACAUAGCAAGGCCCCAGAGAGGCCAGAAG